rnacentral:lncRNA from 11 species
CUAAUCAACCUAAAGAAAAUUCAAAUAAUAUAUGUCUAUCUUUUAAAGAAUAAGUAUGUUCAUUUUUCUAUGAUUCCCAGAAAAUUGAAACUACAUCUCUGUUCAUAAUGCCAGAGUAGUAUGGACCUUAAGAGGCUAUCUCACAGACAAUAAGAACCAGAGGAUCUACUGUCCAUCCAGAGACACACCUGCAGACAGAUAAGGUGUCCAUCUUCAGGAACUGUUUUCUUGAGUCCAUUACUACAAUAAACACUUUGCUGCGUAGAGGAAAAUAAUUCCACAACGACCUGCCUUGCUCAAGAAUUUCCCAUGUGCCACCUCAGUUUGUCACUGACUUAUUGAUAUGGAUGCCACAAGCAGAUGAACAGUGGUUCUCCUAAAGGUAGGAGAAGCAAGCAGCAAUGGAGAUGGCAAUGGGCAUGUCAAAUGUCAAGUAAACAAUUUCAAGGGGCCUGAACAACCUUUCAUCAGAUAAUCAAGAGAUGGAAGUACAUUCUUGCUUACUUCUCAUUUGAGCAAUGUCAAGAAUAUUAAGGUAUGAACCUGCACUCAAAUUCAUAAA